GGAGUUUCCGUUUAUAAGAAGAGAGUUCCUUAGACAUUUGUGACUGAGUUUUAAAACAAUCAUUCAUCUGGAAAUCAUUGCUGGGCUUUAUAAUUUCUAAUUUGGCUGGCAUAUCGCAAGGAGUAAUAUAGACUAUAUCAUUUUUAUCCUUAGCUUGGUGUGGUUUCCAGAGCAAAACUCAAAUAGCUGAGCACACUUAGAAUUCAAAUUUGGAAGAAGGAAAGUCUUCAUUCUCUCUGUAACCAAUAUCUCAAGACUUAUCAGGCAAAAUUUUUAAAUUCAGAGACUUUCUUAUCCUACCUGGGUACCAUCUUGGCUUCUAAGAAGUUUUUAGUGUAGAUAGAUAAUGUCAGGAGAAACAGAGAAGAGUCCUGUUUUUCUUACACAGGUUAGUUAAGUGAUGAUUAAACCUGGUUGUGUAAGUCAGCCUGUCUCUAAUAAGGUCAGCAUUGGAAGCAAGCAUGUUGCAACUCAGUAGUUCAGACAAAUACUGCUAUGGUUUGAAUGGAUGCAUCCUUCCAGAAUGUACAGGUUCAAACUGAAUCCACAGGGUACAGUAAUGAGUAGAGAUUUCAGGUGGUGAUGAGUAACCUUAUAUAAGGACUAGAGGGAACUAGCUGGGCCCUUUCUGUCCUCUGCCAUGAGAGGACACAAUGUUCAUCCCUCCCAGAAGACACAGUAACAAGACAUCAUCUUGGAAUCAGGGAUAGAGCCUCACCUGUUUGAACUUUGUCCUGAUUCUCUUAUUUCUCCAUCCUCCAAAAGGUCAACAUUUUGUUCUUCACUUAAUCCACAUCAGAUGUGUCUCUGUGUUUAUAUACAUUUAUUUGUUACUAUAAAAAGCAUAGCCUUGUUUAUGGUUUCCAUAAGUGUAAAUGGUAUUUUUAUGGAUAUAAUUCUGUCACAUGCUUUAAUCAAGCACCAUUAUCUUCAAGAUCUUUCCAUGCCAAUAUCUUUCCAUAUAAAUGGAGCUUAUCCUUUCCAACUUCUGA
rnacentral:lncRNA from 1 species